UCCUCCGUAGUAUAGGGCUGAGCAUCCCCGCCUGUCAGGCGGCAGACAGGGGUUCGAUUCCCCUCCGGGGUG